CCCACCCUCCUAAGCGCCAUUGGAAAGGCGAGGCUAUGGGACCACGUAAAUCCAAAGGAAAGGCCUCUGCUAAAUGCAGACGAGACACAAGCAGAUCGGCCCAAAAACCCGCUCAGGCUUCCUCUGGGGAAGAGGACGCAGGUCCAUCACAUGCUCUAGCCGUGGUUGAUGAAUGGCAGGCGGCUGCCUCCGACCGGGAGGAAUCAGACUACUCCGCUGCCAAGUCUGACCCUUACCUUAUAGGGGAACAGACCCUGUGUGAACCCCAGGACUCUGGGGCCACAAACCUAGACACCCCACAAGAGGGUUCAGAAAUAUUUUUGGACAACUCUGGCCUCCGCAUGUUCGAUCCUAGGAACAUCCGCCAUCCCCGUUCGGAAGAAUGGACGCCACCCGAACACUUGACCAGAUUCAUGCACUUCUGGCUCCGGAAGUCUCUGGACAAAGAAGUGAGAAAGCGUAUGAGAUCUGAAUGUCCUCGCCCGAGCCUACCAGAUAAGGUAGCACACACCCCCGAAUUCGACCCGCUUAUGACCACAUUCAUGUCCCGCGGGGGUCUGGACCCACGCAAGGGCGUGGAAGGUGGCUUCAAGGGAGCUCAGGACAAACUACUAGACGCCAUCGGGCC